CGCAGAGCGACCCGCGGAAUGUCCGGGAAUCGACCUCGCGCGCGGCUGCCAGCUGGGAAAGAGACGAGGGAACUCCAGGGGACUAGAUCAUCCCGGGCUUCUUCUGGCAUCCUGGAGAGGCCGCUGCAGACGAGCUUCUCCUCCUCCUGGGCAGGAUUCGACCCCUAAAAUAGGGGUUUUAUCCAGAUAGUCCCCAACUUACAACACUUCCUUCAGCCACCAUUCCAAGUUGCAAAGGCGCCCCAAAAAGUGGCUUUAGGACCCCUUUUCCUUUAGCUUUCUAGAGUCCCCAGGGUCAUGCCAUCAAAAUUCAGAUGCUGGGCCACCGACGGUCGCAGUGUCCCAGGGUCACAGGAUCCCUCUUUCACCAUGACCUUCUGACGGGUGAGGAUUCACUUAACGACCGUGUGGCUGACUUAACAAUCGCAGCAAUUCUCAUUUUUCCAAUUUGACUCAUACUUACAACGGUUGCCGUGCCCCCCACGGUCCCAGGGAGAAGACCGUAAAUUUGGAAGCUUAAUUGAAAAUAAGGCUGACUCGAGAGAAAAGCGGCGGAUCCAAAUUGGCCAAUUGAAGUCUCCCCCCCCCCCACCCUUUUUCUUUUCUAACUUUCGGAAGCCAGGCUGGACUUUCCAUUGCAAUUCAACGUGGGUUGGCUUCAUGCGCUUUAUCUCAUACUCUUAAUCUUGGACCUUGUGGGGACACUGAAUAUAUUUAAAUCUUAAUUGCUCUGAAGAUUCUUUUUUCUCUCUCUCUUUUUUUAAUUGUUGGCUACUUUUGUUAUAUUUCCGAUUCUUAAAAUAAAAAAAAGUCAAAAUAGAGACGGGAAGAAAUAAGCAUUGAGAGUUGAUACGAUGAACACUGCCAUCUAGUGGACCUGAAACGCUGUUACUGGAGAGAAGCGGUUCCCUUGAAGGGCUGAAAGGGGGCAGGAAUACAGGUGUUUACACAGCUGUUUCCUGUGGACCUUUCAGUAUCUGGAAACCUACUUUAGAUUAAACAGAAGCGCCGAGGGAAAGCUCCGAGUGGCCUUGCAAAGGCUUUCAUCGGAAAAAACAAGAGAGACUGAAUUUAUUUCUUCCAGCUUUGUGGCAGUUCUUAUAUUAUCCUUGUAUAUUAUCUUGCUGGGGAGGUGGUGAUGUUUUUUUCUUCCUUGGCUGUUUGACUUCUUUUUUGAGGUUUUGAAGUACUUGAUUCCUGAUUUAUUUAUUUAUUUAUAUUUUGUCUCUCUUUUCCUUUUGAAGAUAUUGGAGACAAAUGGAUGGCUUGCUUUAAAAUUUGAGUAAAUUGGACUGAAGACUUUUUUCUCUCCUCUCUUUUCUUUUGUUCUUUUACUUUUCUUUUUAAGUGAGAGAUCUUCACUUUUUCCUCUUUCCUCUUUCUUUUUUCCUCUCCUUUAAUUUUAUUUAUAAUCUCGUAUCUUCAUAAACUGAUGUUUAAAUUUUUGUGAUACUAACUGGACUAGAACAUAAAAGAAAAAAUUCAGAAGAUGAAUAGAAAAACAACACCUGCUGGUUUUACAACAAGGACCCCCCUCACCUGCAGGAGGACGAAGAUCAAUACAGUCAGAUGCUUCAACAAGAAAAGGAGGAGGAGGAGAUUGCCUUAGAGGCAAUCAUGCAAGCGAUGCAGAAAUUACAAGCAGCAAUUGAUAGCAAGAAUGAAAAGUUAGAUGCCAUUGUAAAGAAGUUUGAGAGUAUAGGAAAAAGAAUGGAGACCCUAGAAUACUUUG